UGCCACCCCACUCUACAGCUACACCGCCACGACCCUCAUAUCCCAUGGUCAUAUUACGUAGGUAGCGUUGGCACCACCUACCACUAUAUCUUUUACUGAUUCUGCGCAGAAACCUAGGCAGCAUCCAGAGGUGGUCGUAGAGUAGUUCUGCGACGGUCGACGUCGAUUAGUAAGAUCACUACGCAAUAUUCCGAGGCCGUAGUCGAAGAAUCGGCAAAUAAUUUCCUGGUCUCAAUGAUUGCAUCUGUCAGACUCCCAUAAUGAUAAGGAUGAAGAGGACUUUUGUAUAGGAUAGGCGCAACCGGUCCAUUUCCAAAAAUGAAAAAAUACUUCAGAAACUUCUUUCCUUGCGUGAUGAAACCGCACGAUUCAGCAUUAAUAUUCCAAUUCGAAGAGGGUGAGGGCCGAGGAGUGCAUAGAAAAUUAUUGUGGAAAGCAGGCCAGAUAAAAUCCAUAUAUACUGUGAAGGUAGUUGCUCAUUGACAAUCGACUUGUAGCUUCAAGUAGAUUCCACAUAAUGACGUCAACCUCAUUUCCCUUUAAAAUGGAAAUAUUAAUGUAAAUAAAGACGAAUGAAAACCAGAGGGGAGUAUUGAUAAUGUAAUUAAAGCUACAUACGCAAUUCUAAACGUGCAGAAUCACCGGUAACGCAAGUUUUUAUUUUCAGAAGGCUUCUUUAAAGUUCUUUCUAACCUAAUAGUUCGUUUUACUCAUUGCUAGACUGAGAACUUCGUCACGAUAAUAGGCAGGGAAUAACAAUAUAGAUAUACAUAUAAAAGAAUCAACCGGACUGAUGUAAGAAGUGAGACAACACAUGCAAAUGUGGCAACUAUGUGAGUGUCUCGAAUAUCUAUGACUACAUGACUAUGAUACGCGAGUCACGGAUUUAAAUUUAGACAAGAUGAUAAUCGAACGAGGAAUCAACUGGCAUGAGAAAUUCUUCCUGAUAAUCGCUCGAUGGAGUUGACGUUGUUGAAGAAAAUGCUGUAAUGCAUCUGCAUGUGCUAUCUGUUACUGAGUAUUUCCUAAAGAAGUCUUUUUAAAAAAUAAACAAGAUCUUCCCUUAAGUAACGUUGCGCAAUAUAACGAUCAAUGAAAAUGACACUGCGUAAAAGUAAACGGAAGAAUUAUCAGGCGCAUAUACUCCUGAAAAUCGAUAUCACGUACCUCUGACCAUGUCGCUGUAUCUAUAGCCAUGCACUUGUUACAUAUAUACGUGCUUACAUAUAUUUGUAAAGAAAACUGUUUACGAUAAUCGCUAAGAGGGAUGGCGUGUGUAUCCCACGUCGAAAACUGUGACAGCAAUAUUAUUAUUUCAUGUCCAAUCACCUAACCAUCUGCAUUUUUGCAUUACAUUGUACACAUAACUGGAUUAUUUUUUAGAGCAUUAUCGUCGUGUACGAUAAAUCUCUCUAUUUAAAAAAUUCAAAUAUUGUACUGGAUAUUAACAAAUUUUAGUAGCUGAUAGUUUCUACAAAUCAAGAAAAAGUAGGCAACGAGUCUUGGAAAAUUGUUAAUUAAUAUUUAUGACUGUAAAAUAAUGAUGUUAUGGAUAAAAUAAAGUAAGAAAGUGUUAGAAAAGUUGUAUCUAUCUUUGGCGCGCGCGUUCAAACGAACCGGAAGCGCCACCCACCCAUGUAUGUGGAAUGUCAGUGAAUUCAAUCGAACUGGAAUAAACAAGAACUGUUUCUGACGGUUAAAAA